ensembl:snoRNA SNORA70 Small nucleolar RNA SNORA70
CUGAAGUUGAUUAAGCUGAACUUCUUUGCUCGUGGGAGCCCAGGGUGCAAUGGCUACCAACAGCAGCCUGUUUCUUGUUUCGGUUCUCCUAAGGAAUCUUGAGACAGUG